GACGAACGCUGGCGGCGUGCUUAACACAUGCAAGUCGAGCGGUAAGGCCCUUUCGGGGGUACACGAGCGGCGAACGGGUGAGUAACACGUGGGUGACCUGCCCUCAGCUCUGGGAUAAGCCCGGGAAACUGGGUCUAAUACUGGAUAUGACUCCACGGUGCAUGCCGUGGGGUGGAAAGCCUUGUGCGGCUGAGGAUGGGCCCGCGGCCUAUCAGCUUGUUGGUGGGGUGAUGGCCUACCAAGGCGACGACGGGUAGCCGGCCUGAGAGGGCGACCGGCCACACUGGGACUGAGACACGGCCCAGACUCCUACGGGAGGCAGCAGGUGGGGAAUCGUUGCGCAAUGGGCGAAAGCCUGACGCAGCGACGCCGCGUGAGGGAUGACGGCC
rnacentral:rRNA from 1 species